CGAGGAUUGUGGCUACGCCAACUUCUCCAACCUCAUAGCCUAGGAGAUGGGGUGUGCUCCAGCGACUCCAGCCUGUUCGGGAGGACGGGGACCUGCACGGCAACCGAGUUGACGACGAGGAACAACACGCUGAUGAGCACAGAUUUGGAUUUUGGGCCACCCAGUGCUCCCCACAACACAAGAUCGGUAGGAGCAUCACAAUUUCAACGCAUUUGGUGAUAUCAGAGACCACUUCUUUUUUCAAACACAGUUUGUUCUUAUUUUCUUUUGCGUGGAAGCACUUGAUAUGCAAACAGCAAACCCGAAAGAGGCUUUGAGAGGAUUAGCUUAUCAUCAGUGGCAGAUAUAUUGGCUCAAGAUGUUCAUGAACUUCCUACGAGAUCAAAUGUUCAUGAAUAUGGUCUUCAAAUGUUUUACAUCAAGACCAAUUUACUAGCUCAGAUACCAAGCUUCACAACUAAGUGUGUUACUUGCUACCCAUCUGUGGAAGUAUGGUAGCAGAAACAUAAAUGCAAGUACCAGCCAUGUCCCAACCAAGAA